rnacentral:SRP_RNA from 1 species
GCUGGGGCAUGGUGGUGUGCCCAUAGUCCCAGCUACUCAGGAGGCUGAAACAGGAAGAUCACUUGGGUCCAGGAGCUCUGGGCUGUAGUGCCCUAUGCCAAUCAGUUGUUCACACUAAGUUUUGCAACAAUAUGGUGACCUCCUAGGAGCAGGGCACCACCAGAUUUCCCUAGUAGGAGUGAACCAUCCCCCACUGGAAAUGGAGCACGUCAAAAUUCCUGUAUUGUUCAGUAGUGGGAUUGCACCUGUGAAUAGCCACUGCACUCCAGCCUGAGCAACAUAGUGAGACCUUGUGUCU